AUUGAACGCUGGCGGCAUGCUUUACACAUGCAAGUCGAACGGCAGCGCGGGCUUCGGCCUGGCGGCGAGUGGCGAACGGGUGAGUAAUGCAUCGGAACGUGCCCAGUAGUGGGGGAUAGCCCGGCGAAAGCCGGAUUAAUACCGCAUACGACCUGAGGGUGAAAGCGGGGGACCGAAAGGCCUCGCGCUAUUGGAGCGGCCGAUGUCGGAUUCGCUAGUUGGUGGGGUAAAGGCUUACCAAGGCGACGAUCCGUAGCUGGUCUGAGAGGACGACCAGCCACACUGGGACUGAGACACGGCCCAGACUCCUACGGGAGGCAGCAGUGGGGAAUUUUGGACAAUGGGGGCAACCCUGAUCCAGCCAUGCCGCGUGCGGGAAGAAGGCCUUCGGGUUGUAAACCGCUUUUGUUCGGGAAGAAAUCCUCUGGGCUAAUACCCCGAGGGGAUGACGGUACCGGAAGAAUAAGCACCGGCUAACUACGUG
rnacentral:rRNA from 1 species